GCAAGUCGAGCGAGAAGAUUAUGAAGGAACCUUCGGGUGACCGAAUAAACGGAAAGCGGCGGACGGUUGAGUAACGCGUGGGUAACCUGCCCCAUACAAAGGAAUAGCCACUGGAAACGGGGAUUAAUACCCUAUAACAUGAUUGGAUCGCAUGAUUUGAUGGUCAAAGAUUUAUCGGUAUGGGAUGGACCCGCGUCUGAUUAGCUAGUUGGUAAGGUAACGGCUUACCAAGGCGACGAUCAGUAGCCGACCUGAGAGGGUGAUC
rnacentral:rRNA from 1 species